GGAAUAUUGCGCAAUGGGCGAAAGCCUGACGCAGCCAUGCCGCGUGUGUGAAGAAGGCCUUAGGGUUGUAAAGCACUUUCAAUGGGGAAGAAAAGCUGCUGCCUAAUACGCAGUAGCCCUGACAUUACCUUUCGAAGAAGCACCGGCUAACUACGUGCCAGCAGCCGCGGUAAUACGGAGGGUGCGAGCGUUAAUCGGAAUUACUGGGCGUAAAGCGCGCGUAGGCGGUUUGUUAAGUCAGCUGUGAAAGCCCCGGGCUCAACCUGGGAAUUGCAGUUGAUACUGGCCGACUAGAGUACGAGAGAGGGAGGUAGAAUUCCAUGUGUAGCGGUGAAAUGCGUAGAUAUAUGGAGGAAUACCAGUGGCGAAGGCGGCCUCCUGGCUCGAUACUGACGCUGAGGUGCGAAAGCGUGGGGAUCAAAC
rnacentral:rRNA from 1 species